rnacentral:rRNA from 1 species
GGGGGGUAGAAUUCCAGGUGUAGCGGUGAAAUGCGUAGAGAUCUGGAGGAAUACCGGUGGCGAAGGCGGCCCCCUGGACAAAGACUGACGCUCAGGUGCGAAAGCGUGGGGAGCAAACAGGAUUAGAUACCCUGGUAGUCCACGCCGUAAACGAUGUCGAUUUGGAGGUUGUGCCCUUGAGGCGUGGCUUCCGGAGCUAACGCGUUAAAUCGACCGCCUGGGGAGUACGGCCGCAAGGUUAAAACUCAAAUGAAUUGACGGGGGCCCGCACAAGCGGUGGAGCAUGUGGUUUAAUUCGAUGCAACGCGAAGAACCUUACCUGGUCUUGACAUCCACAGAACUUUCCAGAGAUGGAUUGGUGCCUUCGGGAACUGUGAGACAGGUGCUGCAUGGCUGUCGUCAGCUCGUGUUGUGAAAUGUUGGGUUAAGUCCCGCAACGAGCGCAACCCUUAUCCUUUGUUGCCAGCGGUUAGGCCGGGAACUCAAAGGAGACUGCCAGUGAUAAACUGGAGGAAGGUGGGGAUGACGUCAAGUCAUCAUGGCCCUUACGACCAGGGCUACACACGUGCUACAAUGGCAUAUACAAAGAGAAGCGACCUCGCGAGAGCAAGCGGACCUCAUAAAGUAUGUCGUAGUCCGGAUUGGAGUCUGCAACUCGACUCCAUGAAGUCGGAAUCGCUAGUAAUCGUAGAUCAGAAUGCUACGGUGAAUACGUUCCCGGGCCUUGUACACACCGCCCGUCACACCAUGGGAGUGGGUUGCAAAAGAAGUAGGUAGCUUAACCUUCGGGAGGGCGCUUACCACUUUGUGAUUCAUGACUGGGGUGAAGUCGUAACAAGGUAACCGUAGGGGAACCUGCGGUUGGAUCACCUCCUU